rnacentral:rRNA from 1 species
GUGGGGAAUUUUGGACAAUGGGCGCAAGCCUGAUCCAGCAAUGCCGCGUGCAGGAAGAAGGCCUUCGGGUUGUAAACUGCUUUUGUACGGAACGAAACGGUCCGGGUUAAUACCCUGGGCUAAUGACGGUACCGUAAGAAUAAGCACCGGCUAACUACGUGCCAGCAGCCGCGGUAAUACGUAGGGUGCAAGCGUUAAUCGGAAUUACUGGGCGUAAAGCGUGCGCAGGCGGUUUUGUAAGACAGGCGUGAAAUCCCCGGGCUCAAGCUGGGAAUUGCGCUUGUGACUGCAAGGCUGGAGUGCGGCAGAGGGGGAUGGAAUUCCGCGUGUAGCAGUGAAAUGCGUAGAUAUGCGGAGGAACACCGAUGGCGAAGGCAAUCCCCUGGGCCUGCACUGACGCUCAUGCACGAAAGCGUGGGGAGCAAACAGGAUUAGAUACCCCGGUAGUCC